rnacentral:lncRNA from 1 species
UGAUUUUUCAUGUUUGUAGGGUGCAGAUCUGCGUAGUGAAACUACCCACAGCAAGGAUGUAUGCCUGUGAGGUGGCACAGAACUGAUGGAUCAGACUUGGCCUUCAACCUCCUGUUAUCCUGAUGAAAUUGCAAGCUCCAAACAACAGAGACACAACAUUGACCAACAGUAAGAUGGCUUGAAGAAAUAUUUCUUUCAGGACAAACUCUGUGCAUUCCAUGAGGGUGGAUGGAUGGACUUAUGAGGACAAAGCCACUGACAUCAUGAGCAGGAAACAAUGCUUCUCUCAAGCUGCAGCUUCGAAAUGUCAAACAGCCUCUUCCUUGGGUGACAACUGCUUUCUGACUCAAAGGAAGACCUUGCUCUCCAGCAUCAGGGGCUGUCAGAAACUUUGCUUUUGAGUAAGUACAACAUCACACUGCCUGGAGGAUCUAGGUCCACCUUUACACAGAAGCACAGAGCUACAGAGAAGGGGUUUCUGGAUGGAACAUUCACAUCUGGCUGGACUUCAUGGGUUCUAAGGACAGAGGACCUGGGUCCACUUUGCAGACCAGACUUGACACUGGCUGCUUUACACUUAGGACUGCUACGUUGUGAGUCCAUCACUACAGCCUCAAGAAUCCCUCCCCACAGUCUUAUAAUAACCUCUUUGCUUUGUUUUUUUAGUCAUCCCAGGUUUCUUAAUGUGAAUUUAUUCCCUUUUUGCUACAAGCCAAUAAUCCUGAGUCUGUUAACUGCAAAAUCAGUUUUGGUGACUGAAUGCACUAGGAUGUAUAUUAGUUUCUGGAAUUUGGGAUGACUGUAGCAUUUUUCAGCAUUUUAAAGUGAGUAAUUUGUUGUGAC